GUCCCGUUAGCUCAGGUGGUAGAGCAACUGACUUUUAAUCAGUGGGUCGUAGGUUCGAGUCCUACACGGGACACCA
rnacentral:tRNA from 2 species